rnacentral:rRNA from 1 species
CAGUCGCCGCGGUAAUACAGAGGGUGAGAGCGUUAAUCGGAUUUACUGGGCGUAAAGCGUGCGUAGGCGGCUUCUUAAGUCGGAUGUGAAAUCCCUGAGCUUAACUUAGGAAUUGCAUUCGAUACUGGGAAGCUAGAGUAUGGGAGAGGAUGGUAGAAUUCCAGGUGUAGCGGUGAAAUGCGUAGAGAUCUGGAGGAAUACCGAUGGCGAAGGCAGCCAUCUGGCCUAAUACUGACGCUGAGGUACGAAAGCAUGGGGAGCAAACAGGAUUAGAUACCCGAGUAGUCCCUGUCUCUUAUAC